GUAGCUCAAUUGAUUAGAGCGCUCGUUUGGUAAGCGAAAGGCCUUGAGUUUGAAUCUUAGC
rfam:Vigna angularis cultivar Jingnong 6 chromosome 9, whole genome shotgun sequence.